rnacentral:lncRNA from 1 species
GGCAAAACUCACAGAUUCUUCCCAAGAGAACACUAAAUGAUAUACCUCAGUCACAAGAAAACAAUGGAGAAGAGUGGGACUUACAAGCUACAAUAUAAUCUUUUAAAAUUAUAGGUAAUUACAAAAAGGCACAUUAAACUUCAGUUAAUCACAGUUGUUUCAAAAAUAUGUCCCUUCUCUUAACAAAGCAGUAACUCAGCCAAAACUUGGAUAAACUGGCAUUUCCUUAGAUCACAUGUUUCAUUCCUAAACACAAUGCCCCUUGUGUUUCUUUCAGGUGUCCAUACUUUCUCUGAAAAAUAGAUCUCCCCUUCCAAAGCUUGAGCAUUAUCUGCUCUUUGUUUGAAAAUAAAUGCAUUGUUCAUGUGGGGACUAGUAACGCAGGUGUUUUACCUCUCUUUUCCCAGUCAGGCUGAUUCUUAAGCCUUUUAUGAAAUCAGUUCAGUUUAGUCAAAUCUCUGACAUCCACUUUUUAUUGCCAUUUCCCUUUAUGGCUAUAAUAUCAGCCCUAAAUACAACAAGAUCAUCUUUUAUUCCAUUAUGUUUACCUCUUUCUUCUACAACAGUUAUCUUAGAAGAUGUUUACAUUUUUAGUUAAUAUCUCAAGUCUUGCCAACAUUCUGCUUUCUUCUCACUUCUUGAAGACUAACUCUGGGGCAAGGCCAAAAUUCAGAUCAAGCAUUAAUAGUUCAAGUUGCUUUCAUUUUUCCUAAACUCCUUAAGGUACCCAGAUUUGCUCCUGUCACUGGAAAGCACUGUCUAAAAGCUUUGCAUGAAAUUAAACUCCCUGAGGUGUGACCAAACUGAAUAAAGCCAUGGAAGCAUGUAUUGAAGCAACUCUUCCUGAGUGAGGCAUGAGAAACACUGGCAUUCUUAACACAGCAAGGAUUGGUGUUGGGUGUCAAGAGAAUGAGGAGGGUCGGAUCUGAGAUCAUGGGGCAUGCUAUAGCUGAGAACGGAAAAAGGGGAGCAGAAUUACUUAAAGACUUCAUCUCUUCAAUGCAGAGGAUAGUAAUUGAUAUUACUUAUCAAAGUAUCUCUUUUCUAGCUAUGCAACAUGAAGUUUCAAGCAAUUUAUUAUUGUCAUUGAUGUCUC